GACGAACGCUGGCGGCGUGCUUAACACAUGCAAGUCGAACGGAAAGGCCCUGCUUUUGUGGGGUGCUCGAGUGGCGAACGGGUGAGUAACACGUGAGUAACCUGCCCUUGACUUUGGGAUAACUUCAGGAAACUGGGGCUAAUACCGGAUAGGAGCUCCUGCUGCAUGGUGGGGGUUGGAAAGUUUCGGCGGUUGGGGAUGGACUCGCGGCUUAUCAGCUUGUUGGUGGGGUAGUGGCUUACCAAGGCUUUGACGGGUAGCCGGCCUGAGAGGGUGACCGGCCACAUUGGGACUGAGAUACGGCCCAGACUCCUACGGGAGGCAGCAGUGGGGAAUAUUGCACAAUGGGCGGAAGCCUGAUGCAGCAACGCCGCGUGCGGGAUGACGGCCUUCGGGUUGUAAACCGCUUUCGCCUGUGACGAAGCGUGAGUGACGGUAAUGGGUAAAGAAGCACCGGCUAACUACGUGCCAGCAGCCGCGGUGAUACGUGGGGUGCGAGCGUUGUCCGGAUUUAUUGGGCGUAAAGGGCUCGUAGGUGGUUGAUCGCGUCGGAAGUGUAAUCUUGGGGCUUAACCCUGAGCGUGCUUUCGAUACGGGUUGACUUGAGGAAGGUAGGGGAGAAUGGAAUUCCUGGUGGAGCGGUGGAAUGCGCAGAUAUCAGGAGGAACACCAGUGGCGAAGGCGGUUCUCUGGGCCUUUCCUGACGCUGAGGAGCGAAAGCGUGGGGAGCGAACAGGCUUAGAUACCCUGGUAGUCCACGCUGUAAACGGUGGGUACUAGGUGUGGGGUCCAUUCCACGGGUUCCGUGCCGUAGCUAACGCUUUAAGUACCCCGCCUGGGGAGUACGGCCGCAAGGCUAAAACUCAAAGGAAUUGACGGGGCCCCGCACGAGCGGCGGAGCAUGCGGAUUAAUUCGAUGCAACGCGUAGAACCUUACCUGGGUUUGACAUGGAUCGGGAGUGCUCAGAGAUGGGUGUGCCUCUUUUGGGGUCGGUUCACAGGUGGUGCAUGGCUGUCGUCAGCUCGUGUCGUGAGAUGUUGGGUUAAGUCCCGCAACGAGCGCAACCCUUGUUCACUGUUGCCAGCACGUUAUGGUGGGGACUCAGUGGAGACCGCCGGGGUCAACUCGGAGGAAGGUGGGGAUGACGUCAAGUCAUCAUGCCCCUUAUGUCCAGGGCUUCACGCAUGCUACAAUGGCUGGUACAGAGAGUGGCGAGCCUGUGAGGGUGAGCGAAUCUCGGAAAGCCGGUCUCAGUUCGGAUUGGGGUCUGCAACUCGACCUCAUGAAGUCGGAGUCGCUAGUAAUCGCAGAUCAGCAACGCUGCGGUGAAUACGUUCCCGGG
rnacentral:rRNA from 1 species